rnacentral:rRNA from 1 species
GAUGAACGCUAGCGGGAGGCUUAACACAUGCAAGUCGAGGGGCAGCAUAGGGUAGCAAUACUCUGAUGGCGACCGGCAAACGGGUGAGUAACGCGUAUGCAACCUACCCUGUACAGGGGGAUAACCCGGAGAAAUUCGGACUAAUAUCCCGUAAUAAUAUCCGGAGGCAUCUUUGGAUAUUUAAAGUUCCGACGGUACGGGAUGGGCAUGCGUAACAUUAGCUGGUUGGUAAGGUAACGGCUUACCAAGGCUAUGAUGUUUAGGGGUCCUGAGAGGGUGGUCCCCCACACUGGUACUGAGACACGGACCAGACUCCUACGGGAGGCAGCAGUGAGGAAUAUUGGUCAAUGGGCGCAAGCCUGAACCAGCCAUCCCGCGUGCAGGAAGACGGCCCUAUGGGUUGUAAACUGCUUUUCCAGGGAGAGAAACUUACGCACGUGUUGCGUGACUGACGGUACCCUGGGAAUAAGCAUCGGCUAACUCCGUGCCAGCAGCCGCGGUAAAAAUCACGUGUUA